UCCUGUGGCUGGUGUUUCCAAGCACACAUUUCUCUGUCUGUGUGUGUGUGUGUGUGUGUGUGUGUGUGUGUGUGUGUCUGGAAAUUUAAAUGUUUUUCCAAAUCUCAUAUCCCAAACAAAACCUGUCAAGAAAUUAGGAAAACUAUAAAACUACUAUAAUUCUGCUACUACAAUUAAAAGAAGUAGAAAGUGUUUUGACAAAACCCAUUGAUGUCACGUUGAAAGCAAGAGCUGGGUGCACUAACACUCAGAGUUGGAGAAUAAGGCUGGACAUUUCUGGGAAGAGAUGUUGAUGAUCUAAUCACUCAGGUUUGCUCAUAGUUGUUGCUGUGUCGUAAGUGUGUUUUCAUGGUCCUGUCUGCUGCUAAUGCUCUGUUCUCAAUGUUGUGUCUGAAAAUGACUUUCCGUAGCUCUUCAGUAUUCCACCAGGAUUCUGGACAAAGAACAGUUAAUCUGUGCCCGUUUGCAGACAGUCACCUGGGUUACUUUUCUCCGUUUCCUCUCUACUAACAGUAGCCUGGACAGUGAGUUCUGCAGUAAUGAGAUUUUCCUAGACAACCUGACUUGCUGGGUCUCUUCUUUAAAAAGAUGACAUCUAGAUUUAGAAAUGAGGGCAGCAUGUCAUUUCCUUGAAAAAGAAUAAGGAUCUGCACAGAGGUGCAACUGGGUGAUAACGCACAUAUUUCAAGAUAUAAUAUGUGUGUGUGAAUAUGCUUGACUAUUAGAACCAUAGUAUAAAAUAGUGAGAGGAAAUUAUAAAGAGAAUUUCUUUGGACUUGGUGUCAAGAGGUUCAUGUCCUGGCUCUAUAACUUAUAUCAUCCAUGUGACGUCAACACAUCUCAGUGCCAUGCAGGUGUGAAAUAACAAAGAAGCCAAAUACUGGUGAAAGAAGUGAAAUUAAAAGAUUGAUUCAUCCAAAAAAGUGCUAUCACAGGGCAUGUUAGAUUUACUAUGAUGGAGAGCAGAUUGAGUGAGAACGUUGAAAGAGAUUCCACAUCCAAAUGAGGCGACUGAGGAGAGUUCACAAGGGAAACAAACAAGAGUUGGCAAAGAGCCCUAGGAUUCGUAGCUGGAAGGAAAGGCAAUCUGUAAUCCACACAGGGUACCCUCAGGGCACAGAGCAAGAUGGAGAAGGUGAAGAGUGGAUCUGAAAAAUGAAAUGAUUCAGCACACAGGAAAAAGACAACAAUGACAGCCUUAGCAGAGAAAGUUAAAAAGUGAAGUAGCUGGAACUUCAUCUACUUCAAGAGUCCUGUGAGCAGGUUGCAUCACUAUGGUUACAAGUGAAAGAACCAGAAACUGGUUCAACUGAGUUAAUCAUUUUCUAAUGUUCACUCUGACACAAUACACAUUGUAAAACUGCUGAUUCUUUUCAAAUUGGAUAUGACAGCGUAACAAGAGUAGAAGAGAAACAUCUGGACUUUAUGAAAUAGUUGGUUAUGGGAAAAGGCUCUGUGUUUUCAAGGUGGUGGUGCAUUCCAGUUUGAGGGCCCAAGCACUGAUCUACCAAUGAUCUUCACACCCUUAUCACCACUAUACCAGCACGAGGUGAGAAAGCACAAGAAGGCAGCUGCCUGCAAGAAGCCAGGAAGAGGUCCCCCAGCAGAAACCGAACCUGCCGUCACCUUGAUCAUUGACAUCCCAGCUUCUAGAAUUUAAGAAAAUAAAUUUCUAACUUUGAAGCCACAGAUGGGGUUACACAUCACAAUUCUGGAAGCGGGGAUUGUGGGAUUUGUUCUGUUGGCCGAGCUGACUAACGCAGAACCAGAACAUUCCAACUCUAUAUUCCAAGGAAGGUAAAAAAAAAAAAAAAAAAAAAAAAAGUUAAGGAGGAAAAUAAAAAAUACCCAAAAACUCUUAACUAAAAUUUGGAUUAGAAUAAAAUAUCCUCAAAUCAGAGGGACCUUCCUAGAAUAAGCAAUGCCAUGAGUUUUAAAGGAUGAAAAAGGGUUCAGUUAAGCAAAGAUGAAAAAGAAAGUCAAGCCAUGAAACAGUGGCGCAUGAAGAAGACAUACAGGUGAAAAGAUCAUAAUGGUGCAGAAAUGCAAGGAGUUGGAGAAGGAAAAGAUUUCAAACUAAAGGGGAGGUGGGAUGAGGUCAUUGGGGGCAGAUCAAAUGCCUACAAAUUAUUUCAAAAUUUGCAAUAUACAUAUCUAAUGAAAAUCCCCCUUUAAAAUUUGCUCCCUGUAUGUGCCUCAUCGUAAUUGCUUAUUUGGAACUAAGAGCGCUCUUUAGGAAAUACAGUAUUUCCACAUUGUUUCUAUUACUUUAAAAGGAUAACACAAGUUGACCUUUCUCCCAAUUUUUCUAUUCAUUUUAUGAGACAAACAAGUCUUGGCACAGAGGAAGGUGAGGUUCAGACUUUUUCUAUGCAGUUCUUUCAACAGACAUCAAAAACUCUCUCUAUAUUAAAACAUAUUAUAUAUAGGAGUGUAGGGAGGGUGCAAACCACAAUAUAAAAUAAAGCUCAAGUUAAUUUAUUCUUAGUCUGGAAAGUUGACCAAACAUCUGAUUCUGGAUUUUUUAUUUUCAAAAAAUAUAGUCUGUGGCAAUAAUUUCCAAUAAUUGUGUUAUUUUAACACAUGAAAACAAAUAGACCACAAUGCUCUAUUAAGGAUCAAACAAACAAAAAAAUGUCUCAUAUAUUUAUCUAGAGGAAUGGCUCCUUCUUCAAGCAAUAGGUGUGCUUAUUUUCUUGAUUAAAAAAUAAAGUAAAAUAUUUAGCAGUAUUUUAUGUAUGCUAAGAAACACAUUUGCACAUUUUGAGAUCUCUGCAUUUGAGAGGAUUUAAAAAUGAACGACUGGUCAGGCAGCAGUCAGGAUGCAGGUGUCAUUUCCUCAGAAAGCCUAAAAUUAGUCAUAGUUGCUCAUAUGGUCUUCAAAUAAAUUGAGUUAUGUGCAUUAUUAAUACU